AUGGCGACCGUGGUCACGCAGCCGCGCGGCCAACUUGGAAGCAGCCUGCAUUAGUUGGGGAAGAAUGGAAUUAGGAGAAUAAACCAAAACAGCCAGCCUCCGCCUGCAGACCUCGUUCUCCUUAGCUCAGACACACACGUACACAGCAGAAAGCAACAAAGGGCAAGCUUCCACAGAACGGACUGGAAGGGUGAGUGGACGCUGAGCCGGCUGUGGAAAUCAAAUGCACGAGAGGCCACCAAGCACACGCAGGCCGCCGACAGAAAGCUCACACGGCACUCACAAAGCUUUAGCCGCAGCUGAACACGGGCCUGUCGCAUUAUUUCGAGAACAUUCCCGGAUGACGGAUGACUUCCAUGCCGGCUGGAAUGUGCUGUGAUGUGCAGGAGGCGAGAGCAAGGGGUCUUUGCCCUGGGUUUUGCACGAGGGACUGCAGGGAAGCAGUGAUGCUCGUUUCUUCUCUAAAAACCUCGGCAGCCUGGGCUUUUGGGUAUCCGACUGCAGCAGAACGGUUCACUAUGGCACAAAGUGUAGACCGUUAGAGACCUUGCAAGUACUUGAGAGAUUCCUGAUGUAACGCUUGCGGGAGAAGCAUUGCGCAAACCCUGUGUCCUUCGAGGUCCCCGCUUUGCUCAGAGGGCAGACUGGAGGCAAUUUACCAUGAUGCUGAUUGGGACCGUCGCUGACUGGAGGGAUGACAAUAGCGACAUUUUGUCGUCCUCUAAACCUCCUGGGCUUUCCAGAUCUGGUCCACCAGCCUGCAGUCUUUUAUACAUAUGAAAGAAAUGAUAAAGAUAGUUGCUGUUCCACAGUCUCUGGUAAAGCCUACGUCUGAAUUUCUCCUUGUUCACUGGAACGAGAUGGUCUGGACUGAAGACGGCAGGGCAACAAUACACAGCUUCUGUCCUCCUCCGUCAAACACCGGCAUCUACUCAGUGCCGUCCUUCGUGCGUAUGGUGGGAGAAUCAGUGCUCAGGAAGACGCCCACAGAGAGCGAGCCACUGGUCCGCUCGGCUGGUCGGUCUGUCUCUGAGCGUCUGCCACGUGCGGCCGUGAAGCUGGCAGCCCGUGUGGCUCCUGUCGCCACAGCCCUCUGAGGUGCCGGCCCACGGUUCGGCACAGAAAACUGCUUUCCAGAUAUUUACAGUCUGUAGGUAACGUGAAAAAGGAGUAGUUUUGUGUGUUUUCUUACCUUCUGUCUGCAACACACACGUAGGGCAUCCUGGCAUCUAAAGCGGCAGCUUUUGAGCAUAACUCUGAGAAUGGGUGCGCCUGGGCUCCCUGCAGACCCUGAACACGGUGCGGGGGGGGGGGGGAGCAGAGACGCCUCACACUGCGCAUCGGCUCAGCCUGUGGCACCUGCCCCUCGAGCUCCUUUCCAAGGAAGGGGUGAGGUGGUAGUUGCACGGAUGGCAUGCCCGUGGUCCCUCACCCACCCCAGACUGGAAACCCAGGCCCCCAGCCCCUGGCGCCCCUUUCGCCCGUUAUCUCAGACAGUCAGCCUGUGUCUCACUCACUCUCUGCCUGCAGUUACCUCGCCUUGGAGGAGGGUGCUUGUUACCUAAACACGGAAAUGAGGAGGGUGAUCUUCCAGGGUUUUCGGUAACUAACCUAAAACCCUAUAAGGCACGGCUGGCAUUUAACAUUGUAUUAGCUUCAGACCCACAACGUAGUGAGUCAAUAUUUGCACGCGUGGCCACGCGGUGGCCACGGUAAGCCCUGUUAGCAGUCGUCACCGCACGCCGUUGCCGAAGUCCUUUUGUGAGAUGAGCACUCGUACGAGGUGCUCUCUUAGCGACUUUCAGACACGCGACACGGUGUGACUGCCACGGUCACAGUGCCGUGCCCGCGAUACCUCAGCUAGAACAAUCUCACGACCACUCUGUGUGGGUGCGGAGACCAGGCAGGCCCCACCUUUCUCUCUGGCUCUGAGUCCCCCUUCUCUGUGCUGCAUGCCAGCAUCAGCCACCUGACUGUCAGCCUGAAGCCGUGCAGACACUCGGGAAAAUACUGGGGAGACAAGUGGGUACUGGCACUACCUCUCCCUGGCUUCUGUGCUGUUCUUAGGCGUUCAUGUGCCCACAGUCUUCAGUAUCAUCCUUAGGAAAUUCCUCUCUGGAACUGAAAUCUGGGCUCAGAAAAGAGCUAUGCCCAACUCGUUCAUACUAACAUGUAAAUGGAUGCCAGGAAGCCUUCCCUGAAUGCUUGCUCUGCAUCCAGUUCUGCCUGUGAGUAGCACCAGGAAUUGUGUCCUGCCCCAGAGCCACCGGGCGUCGAGUGUAGCCUGUGAUGCAGUGGCCUUGAGUCUUCAGCCACUUCCACCCCACCCCACCCUGCACAACAGCCACGUGAGGCCUGGGCCCGUUGGGAACGGGCCAGAGGACCAAAUACCUCUAACCGCAUCAUGUGCUAGUCCUACGUUAUUAAAAUUCCCCCAAAGCAUCAUUGAAGAGAUGAUAUUUUCAUGCGUACUAUUUCACUGAACCGAGUAUUUUCCGUCAGCAUUGCUGCCUCCUUGUUAUGUACGAACACAACACCUGUGGACCUUCGGGGCUGGAAAUUCCCACCCAGCAGACACCUGCUGACUGACACUGAGAGCUCGGGGCCACGGUCUGGAGGAAACUCACACAAAAGCAUGACUUCCCUACAGUGAGGGAGUUCAGAACCCGCUGAUGCACCAGCGGGCGUCCUUCACGUGGGCACGGGACGGUCGGACUUCACCGGAGAAUCACCGUAAAAAAUGCACUGUCAACUCCAGUAACGGUUCAUGAUUUAUUACGUUUCGUUGUUACAAAGACUUGAAUAAACCCAUAAUUGCAUGUAAAAUUUAUUAUAUAAAUCUAUACAUUAAAAUAUUUCAUAGCCAAAA